rnacentral:rRNA from 1 species
GGCUCAGGACGAACGCUGGCGGCGUGCUUAACACAUGCAAGUCGAGCGGUAAGGCCUUUCGGGGUACACGAGCGGCGAACGGGUGAGUAACACGUGGGUGAUCUGCCCUGCACUCUGGGAUAAGCCUGGGAAACUGGGUCUAAUACCGGAUAUGACCUGCUCUCGCAUGGGGGUGGGUGGAAAGAUUUAUCGGUGCAGGAUGGGCCCGCGGCCUAUCAGCUUGUUGGUGGGGUAAUGGCCUACCAAGGCGACGACGGGUAGCCGACCUGAGAGGGUGACCGGCCACACUGGGACUGAGACACGGCCCAGACUCCUACGGGAGGCAGCAGUGGGGAAUAUUGCACAAUGGGCGAAAGCCUGAUGCAGCGACGCCGCGUGAGGGAUGAAGGCCUUCGGGUUGUAAACCUCUUUCAGCAGGGACGAAGCGCAAGUGACGGUACCUGCAGAAGAAGCACCGGCUAACUACGUGCCAGCAGCCGCGGUAAUACGUAGGGUGCGAGCGUUGUCCGGAAUUACUGGGCGUAAAGAGUUCGUAGGCGGUUUGUCGCGUCGUUUGUGAAAACCCGGGGCUCAACUUCGGGCUUGCAGGCGAUACGGGCAGACUUGAGUGUUUCAGGGGAGACUGGAAUUCCUGGUGUAGCGGUGAAAUGCGCAGAUAUCAGGAGGAACACCGGUGGCGAAGGCGGGUCUCUGGGAAACAACUGACGCUGAGGAACGAAAGCGUGGGUAGCAAACAGGAUUAGAUACCCUGGUAGUCCACGCCGUAAACGGUGGGCGCUAGGUGUGGGUUCCUUCCACGGAAUCUGUGCCGUAGCUAACGCAUUAAGCGCCCCGCCUGGGGAGUACGGCCGCAAGGCUAAAACUCAAAGGAAUUGACGGGGGCGCCGCACAAGCGGCGGAGCAUUUGGAUUAAUUAGAUGUUUCGCGAAGUACCUCCCCUGCUUUUCACAUACAAACCAAAUCUGUUGAGACAUGCUCCCCCUUUUGGUGGAUGCAGAGUCAGCCCAUGGCUCUGCCAGCUCGCUUCGUGACGUUUGGGUUUAUUGACGCAACGAGUGCAACCCUUGUCUUAUGUUUCCAGCGGGUUAUGGCGGGGACUCGUAAGAGACUGCCGGGGUCAACUCGGAGGAAGGUGGGGACGACGUCAAGUCAUCAUGCCCCUUAUGUCCAGGGCUUCACACAUGCUACAAUGGCCAGUACAGAGAGCUGCGAGACCGUGAGGUGGAGCGAAUCCCUUAAAGCUGGUCUCAGUUCGGAUCGGGGUCUGCAACUCGACCCCGUGAAGUCGGAGUCGCUAGUAAUCGCAGAUCAGCAACGCUGCGGUGAAUACGUUCCCGGGCCUUGUACACACCGCCCGUC